rfam:Glycine max cultivar Williams 82 chromosome 12, whole genome shotgun sequence.
CUACGAACUUAAUUGGAUUGAGUCUUGGUAUGGAAACUUACCAAGUGUGAAGUUUCAAAUUCAGAGAAACCCUGGAAUUCACAAAGGGCAAUCCUGAGCCAAAUCCUAUUUUCCGAAAACAAAGAAAAGUUUAGAAAAUGAUAAUAAAAAGGGAUAGGUGUAGAGACUUAAUGGAUGUUGUUCUAACAAAAGGAGUUAACGAUUUUUCCUUUUUGCAUUAGGAAAAG